rnacentral:rRNA from 1 species
GACGAACGCUGGCGGCGUGCCUAAUACAUGCAAGUAGAACGCUGAGGGAGGAGCUUGCUUCUCUGGAUGAGUUGCGAACGGGUGAGUAACGCGUAGGUAACCUGCCUGGUAGCGGGGGAUAACUAUUGGAAACGAUAGCUAAUACCGCAUAAGAGUAGAUGUUGCAUGACAUUUGCUUAAAAGGUGCAAUUGCAUCACUACCAGAUGGACCUGCGUUGUAUUAGCUAGUUGGUGGGGUAACGGCUUACCAAGGCGACGAUACAUAGCCGACCUGAGAGGGUGAUCGGCCACACUGGGACUGAGACACGGCCCAGACUCCUACGGGAGGCAGCAGUAGGGAAUCUUCGGCAAUGGACGGAAGUCUGACCGAGCAACGCCGCGUGAGUGAAGAAGGUUUUCGGAUCGUAAAGCUCUGUUGUAAGAGAAGAACGAGUGUGGGAGUGGAAAGUUCACACUGUGACGGUAUCUUACCAGAAAGGGACGGCUAACUACGUG